UAAUUUUAUAAUGAUAUUACUCCCGUCUUACAAUCCAUUAUACAAAUCCCAUGCAUGGCUCUACGUUAGCCGUUUUACCAUAAUGGGAUGACUGAAUAACCGUGAAUUUUAUACGCGCAAACUAGCACAUGUGCGAAACAGUUACAAAAACUGGCACAAUGCCAAAUGGCAUAAGUGCAAAUGGGCAUAAUUGCACAAAAAGAAUUCCAAACAUUGGCAUAAUUGCAAACUGCUAUAAGUGCAAACUGGCAUAUGUGUAAAUUGGCAUAAGUGCGCUAAAUAGAUUUACAAACAUUCGCAUACGUGUGAAUUGCCAUAAGUGGGAACUGGUAUAAGUGUGAAGCAGUUGCAAAAACUCGCAAAAGUGCAAACAACAUAAAUGCGAACUGGCAUAAGUGUGCCAAAUAAAUUUGCAAAAUUUAGCAUAAUUCCAAACUGCGAAUUUAUUACACGCAUUUAUGUCAGUUCGCACUUCUGUAGUUUUUGCCUAUUCGUAUUGUUUGCUAACCUGUUUGGCGCACUAAUGCCAAUUUACACUUUUACCAGUUUGCAAGUUUAAAGCUAUAGGUUAUACUAUAGCUUUAAACUUUAGUCCAGAUAAUUCUUUUAACCCAGAUAAUAUUCAUAUAUAUGACUACACUAAUGGUUAGUGUACACUUAUGAUCUGGACUAUAUUAAUGAUUUAUGACAAAUUCGCUCAUGGCCAAAUCUAAUAUGGCAGCUGGAAAAGGCAAAGGAUCUUUUUAGCCUAACUAAGCUAUACAACUUAAUAAAAGUUUGUGCAUCGACUUCUCACGAAUCAUACACAGAGUCGAUUGUCGAUGCAAUAAUUGCUGAUUCGUGAAAACGGGCAACUUUUGCUUGUCUUAAAGUGCCUUAUAUCCAUCGUUAUAAUAUUACUUUGUUUGUAAAUUGUUUUAAAAAAUAAAUUUUAAAAUAACUUUUAAAUAAA